GUCUUUUCCGUUCUCUCUUCGCACAGUUCGCAGCGUGUAGCCAGCAUGUGGUGCAGGCUUUGAGGACUGGGCGCUGAAAGGAGUGGGUGCUUUCUCACGUGGCGGCCUAAUCACGUAGCUGAUGAAAAUGGUAUUUGAAUGACAUGGGUUUCAUAAAAAUUUAGUGAACGACUUGUAAUAGAUAAGCUUUUUUUGUUUUCUUAAAUGUGUCCAUCACUCCACUGUAUGUAUGUUUUAUUUUGUUGAUUGAUAUUUGUAUGUUUUGUGACUCUGUACAAUAAAGGGUUUUCAAAUA